rnacentral:rRNA from 1 species
UACGUAGGCAGCGAGCGUUGUUCGGAAUUACUGGGCGUAAAGAGUGUGUAGGCGGUGCUCUAAGUCGGAUGUGAAAUCCCUGGGCUCAACCCAGGAAGUGCAUUCGAAACUGGCGAGCUUGAAUAUGGAAGAGGGUCGCGGAAUUCCCGGUGUAGAGGUGAAAUUCGUAGAUAUCGGGAGGAACACCAGUGGCGAAGGCGGCGACCUGGGCCAAUAUUGACGCUGAGGUGCGAAAGCGUGGGGAGCAAACAGG